UAGCUUGCUAAUAAUUCUCUAGUGGCGCACGGGUGAGUAACACGUGAGUAACCUGCCCCCAAGAGUGGGAUAGCCCCGGGAAACUGGGAUUAAUACCGCAUAAAAUCGCAAGAUUAAAGCAGCAAUGCGCUUGGGGAUGGGCUCGCGUCCUAUUAGUUAGUUGGUGAGGUAACGGCUCACCAAGGCGAUGACGGGUAGCCGGUCUGAGAGGAUGUCCGGCCACACUGGAACUGAGACACGGUCCAGACACCUACGGGUGGCAGCAGUCGAGAAUCAUUCACAAUGGGGGAAACCCUGAUGGUGCGACGCCGCGUGGGGGAAUGAAGGUCUUCGGAUUGUAAACCCCUGUCAUGUGGGAGCAAAUUAAAAAGAUAGUACCACAAGAGGAAGAGACGGCUAACUCUGUGCCAGCAGCCGCGGUAAUACAGAGGUCUCAAGCGUUGUUCGGAAUCACUGGGCGUAAAGCGUGCGUAGGCGGUUUCGUAAGUCGUGUGUGAAAGGCGGGGGCUCAACCCCCGGACUGCACAUGAUACUGCGAGACUAGAGUAAUGGAGGGGGAACCGGAAUUCUCGGUGUAGCAGUGAAAUGCGUAGAUAUCGAGAGGAACACUCGUGGCGAAGGCGGGUUCCUGGACAUUAACUGACGCUGAGGCACGAAGGCCAGGGGAGCGAAAGGGAUUAGAUACCCCUGUAGUC
rnacentral:rRNA from 1 species